rnacentral:lncRNA from 1 species
UCUUCUCUCUCUCUUACUCUCUGUGUAGUAGCUCCUCCUGCUUAAGGUAAGCUAAGAUCCGUUGCUUAAUAUCCUUACUUUUGAUCAAGUCAGAGUCUUUUAGGCUAUAUGAUUCACCUUUUAGGCUAUAUGAUUCAUCAAUCUCUUUAGUGUUUGAAAUUGAAACAGCUUUCUAGUUUUACGGACACACUUAGUUGCUUGAACUCCUGGAACUCAAUGGUUGAUAUUUUUUUCCAGAAUAAAAUCUUCAAAAGCACUUAUUUUUUUCAGUAAUAUAAUGUUUGGCAAUAUUUGUUCUGGUGGGAUUUGUCUAAUUAUGUAUUUGUUGGGUGAUUUUUGUACCUAUCAGUGGUUAUGUAACUCAUCCAUGGAUGAAAGACUGAAUUUCUGUAACUGAUUGAUUGAGAAAUUUUCCAGAAUAAAAUCUUUAAAAGCACUUCGUUUGUCAGUAAUAUAAUGUUUGGCAAUAUUUGUUCGGUUGGGCUUUGUCUAAUUAUUCAUUAGAUUAGUUGGCUGAUUUUGGUACCUAUCAGUGGGUAUGUAAAUUGUAACUCAUCCAUGGACGAAAGACUAAAUUUUUUGUAUAUGGGUUGUAGGAAAAUCACAAAAAGGCUUAUCAAUGGCAGUCACAUUCCAUGACAUCAACUCGGCUGUUGGCCUGAAGAAAUUGGAUGACUACUUGCUUGCCCGCAGUUACAUCACUGGCUACGAAGGUUCAAAGGAUGAUCUCAUUGUCCAUGCAGCUCUUUCAAAGCCUCCACCAUCAGAAUUUGUGAACGUGUCUCGGUGGUACAACCAUAUCACUGCACUUCUUAGGAUUUCGUAAGUUCUUAUAACUUGUGAUGGGUUUCUUUUAUCUUUAUUAUUAGAUUAUGAUGGAUUUCUUCAAAGCUCAUAUAUUUGGAUUAAAUCUUUGACUUAUUUGAUUGUCUGUUGUUGUAGUGGUGUUUCUGGACAAGGCUCUGGUGUCAUUGUUGAGGGAUCUGCUCCCAUCACAGAGGAAGCAGUUGCUACACCUCCUGUGGCUGAUACAAAGGCAAGCACUUUUCUGCCCUAUCCACUGAGUUCUUAUUUGGAUGUCUGUUUGCUUUUUUGCUUAUAAUGUGGAAUGUUAGGUUGGGCUAUUAUUGCUUUAUCCGCUUUAAGAAAUUGCAUACAAUUGUUAUGCUCAUGUGUUAGAAUGUGAUACGGUUUUCAGGCCUCAGCUGCUGAAGACGAUGAUGAUGAUGUGGAUCUGUUUGGUGAAGAGACUGAAGAAGAGAAGAAGGCUGCUGAAGAGCGUGCAGCUUCCAUCAAGGCAUCUACAAAAAAGAAAGAAUGUUAGUUUCCUAUCUGAUUUUCAUCCCUUUCAUAUUAGUUUCCUAUCUUGUUUUCAGCCCUUUCAUAUUAGUUUCCUAUCUUGUUUUCAGCCCUUUCAUAUUAGUUUCCUAUCUUGUUGUCUGCCCUUUAAUAUAUCCAUCUCCUUUCCCCUUUCACUGUUAUUUCUUUCGUGCUGAAGGUUUGUUGUUGUAUUUUUCCAUUGUCAGCUGGAAAGUCAUCAGUCCUGUUGGAUGUGAAGCCAUGGGAUGAUGAAACUGACAUGAAAAAGCUUGAGGAGGCAGUAAGAAGUGUUCACAUUGAAGGCUUGCAUUGGGGAGCAUGUAAGUUCUUUCAUCUAAGUUAAUUGCAGGUAUAAGCUAAGGGCCAGAUUUUCUAACCAUAGUUAGCAACAAAAUUUGGCCAUUGAUAUGCACUUAAUACAUUAGCAAUGUGGAAGUCAAUGUUAUGAAGUUUUAGUCCUCUUGAUUGAUGCUAAACCAACCUUUAUGUUCCUAAUUUGGUUAUUUAUUAUCUUGUUGAUUCUGCAGCCAAACUUGUAGCUGUUGGGUAUGGAAUAAAGAAGUUGCAAAUAAUGCUAACAAUUGUUGAUGACCUGGUCUCUGUUGACACUCUUAUUGAGGAACAACUUACUGUUGAACCAAUUAAUGAGUAUGUCCAGAGCUGUGACAUUGUAGCCUUCAACAAAAUAUGUAAGUAUAUUUAAAGUUUGUAAUCAAGUAAUCAUUUUAUGGACUAUUUGUUCGAGAUACGAAUCCUCACUGUUGAUUUAUCCUUACCCUUUGUUUCUCAUUGCAGGAUUGGAGCAUUGAGUGUUCUACUGUGAGAGGGGUUGCUAGGAAGAUAUUUUAUAUCUGCUCAUAUCUUGUUUCUUGGGGCAUGAUUUGAGACUUUAUAUUAUCUUUGGUUAUGAUGUAUUUUAGCAUUCCUUUGAUGAAUAAUAUGCCAGUCCUUUGUAGGUUUGAUAAGACGUCAGUUUU